rnacentral:rRNA from 1 species
CCCUUAGAUGUUCUGGGCUGCACGCGCGCUACACUGACGCACGCAACAGGUGCCUGCUCCGAGAGGACUGGGUAAUCAUUUGAGUGUGCGUCGUGAUGGGGAUAGAAUAUUGUAAUUAUUACUCUUCAACGAGGAAUUCCUAGUAAGCGCCAGUCAGCAGCUUGCGUUGAUUACGUCCCUGCCCUUUGUACACACCGCCCGUCGCUACUACCGAUUGAAUGGUUUAGUGAGAUCUUCGGAUUGGCGCCACUGCGGCUCAGCAAUGGGCUCGGUGGAUGCCGAAAAGUUGAUCAAACUUGAUCAUUUAGAGGAAGUAAAAGUCGUAACA